rfam:Anopheles maculatus strain maculatus3 cont1.5763, whole genome shotgun sequence.
ACAACAGUCCUUUUCAGGACUACAGAAUAUUUUUCUAAAAGAUUGU